AGUACAGACGAGUUUGAUCCUGGCUCAGAACGAACGCUGGCGGCAGGCCUAACACAUGCAAGUCGAGCGCCCCGCAAGGGGAGCGGCGGACGGGUGAGUAACACGUGGGAAUUUUCCUCAAGGUACGGAACAACUCAGGGAAACUUGGGCUAAUACCGUAUGAUGCAGAGAUGCCAAAGAUUUAUCGCCUUGGGAUAAGCCCGCGUCAGAUUAGGUAGUUGGUGGGGUAAUGGCCUACCAAGCCUGUGAUCUGUAGCUGGUCUGAGAGGACGAUCAGCCACAUUGGGACUGAGACACGGCCCAAACUCCUACGGGAGGCAGCAGUGGGGAAUCUUGCGCAAUGGACGAAAGUCUGACGCAGCCAUGCCGCGUGAAUGAUGAAGGUCUUAGGAUUGUAAAGUUCUUUAGCCUGUGACGAUGAUGACGGUAACAGGAGAAUAAGCCCCGGCUAACUUCGUG
rnacentral:rRNA from 1 species